GUGCUUGCUUUGGCAACACAUAUACUAAAAUUUGAAUGAUACAGAGAAGAUUAGCAUGACCCCUGCACAAGGAUGACACACAAAUCCAUGAAGCGUUCCAUAUUUUU
ensembl:snRNA U6 U6 spliceosomal RNA